rnacentral:ncRNA from 1 species
UAAAUGUUUGAUUUUGGCUUAAAAUUUUAUGUUAUUACUAAAAUUGUAUGAAAGUUAAAGCAUGAAAAAUAAUAUUAAUUAAAUAUUAAUGUUUAUAAUUGGAGAAAUUGAAUAAUAAUAUCAUAUAAUCUCAGCAUAAAAUAUUAUAAAUGAAUAUAUAUAAAAAUAUGAUAUAGUAGUAAUAAAAAAUCUGAUAAAUACUUGUGCCAGCAUUCGCGGUUAUACUUUAAGAUAAAGUAAAAUAAUAUAGUUAUUUAGUUAAAUGAUAAAUUUGAUAAAUAUAUAAACAAUAAAAGGUAAAAUUGAAAUAUUGUUAUAUAUAAAAGUAAAAUUGUAAUUGAAGCUAAUAAAAUUUAGUAAUAAACUAGGAUUAGAUACCCUAUUAUUCUAAAUAAAUAAUAUAAAGCUAAAUUAGUAAAAGAUAAAUACUUAAAAUUUAAAAAAUUUGGCGGCAAUUUAAUCUUUUCAGAGGAACCUGUUUUGUAAUCGAUAAACCACGUAAAAUCUUACUUGAUUUUGUUAAUUUCAGUUUGUAUACCAUCAUUAUCAGAUAAUUCUUAAAGGAAAAAUUAUUAAAUUUAAUUAUUUAAAAAAAUUAGAUCAAGGUGCAGUUUAUAAUCAAGGUAAAAUGGGUUACAAUAAAUUAUUUUAUUGCGAAUUAACUGAUAUAAUAUUGUUAUGAAGAAGGAUUUGAUUGUAUUUUUAGUUUAGUAAGCUAUAAAGAUAUAAGUUCUAAAUUGUGUACAUAUCGCCCGUCGCUUUCAUUUAUAAGUGAAAUAAGUCGUAACAUAGUAGAUGUACUGGAAAGUGCAUCUGGU